rnacentral:rRNA from 1 species
AGAGUUUGAUCCUGGCUCAGAGCGAACGCUGGCGGCGUGCUUAACACAUGCAAGUCGAGUGCGCGCCCGUAGCAAUACGGGUGGCGCACGGCGCACGGGUGAGUAACACGUGGGCAACCUGCCCUUGGAUGGGGAAUAACCCCGCGAAAGCGGGGCUAAUACCGCAUAACACUCCUGGAACCGUGGUUCCGGGAUUCAAAGUCGUAAGACGUCCGAGGAGGGGCCCGCGCCCGAUUAGCUAGUUGGCGAGGUAAUGGCUCACCAAGGCAAUGAUCGGUAGCCGGUCUGAGAGGAUGGCCGGCCACACUGGAACUGAGACACGGUCCAGACUCCUACGGGAGGCAGCAGUGGGGAAUCUUGCGCAAUGGGCGAAAGCCUGACGCAGCGACGCCGCGUGGGGGAUGAAGCUUUUCGGAGUGUAAACCCCUUUCGACCGGGACGAAACGCCCGCAAGGGAAUUGACGGUACCGGUAGAAGAAGCCCCGGCUAACUACGUGCCAGCAGCCGCGGUAAGACGUAGGGGGCCAGCGUUGCUCGGAAUAACUGGGCGUAAAGGGUCCGUANGCGGUGUGGCAAGUCGGGAGUGAAAUCUCUGGGCUUAACCCANGGGCUGCUUCCGAAACUGCCGUGCUAAAAUGCC